AAGAAAUUGAGUUGGAGGUUGAAAAAUUGAUUAAAUGCCCCACCACAGUGGUGUCUGCAAAUUUGACACUGGUGUUGUUGUUGUUGUGGGUGGGGGCACAGUCAUGUCUGUACAUAGUGAAGAGCAGGGGGCUCACCACCCAGCCUUGAGGUGAGCCAGUACUGACGCUGAUGGUUGAGGAGAUGUGAGGGCCCAUCCUGACCCUUUGUGUGCGGUCCAUCAGGGAGUCAAGUGGAAUAUGGGAGGCCCAGAUCUGACAACCCCUAGAGCAUCAGCGAAACCCGGAAGCAGAUGGGGCUCGAGGUUGUCUGUGCGCAUGAGAGGUAUUUGGCCUGGAGGCGUGGCUUGGCACAGAGAAUGGCAUGGGUCGAGGCACAUGGCCAAGGUGGAGUGUGGCUAUGUCAUGGAUGGGGGUCAAGGGCAUCUCAAGUGUUCAGGAGGUAUUCGGCCUAUUCCUGGUCUUCUCUGGGCCUAAUGCAGCAGCAAAAACGCCGACCAAUACGGCGGAAGAAAGCCUGGAUCCUUUUGAGGGUCUUCAGACGCCGACAAGGAGCAGUUUUGUUCUUUUUUUCAGUCCUCAGAUCUGGGUCAUGUUUUUUCUGUGGACUGUGCUCCUGCUCUUCCUGGGAACCAGGCUGAUAGGGAGGCAAAUAGUAAAUAGACAGAAAUUAGGUUAGCACACAAUAUACACAGAAACAACAAACGGUGGUAUAAUUUAAGUGGGUAAGACACUCGCCUACAAACCAGAAGACCCAAAUACCAUGUUGUGUCCCUGAGCAAAACACUUAACCCUAAGUUGUUUCAGUGGGACUGUCCCUGAAACUACUGAUUGUAAGUUGCUCUGGAUCAGGGCAUCUGAUAAAUGCCAUAAAUGGACAACGAAAUGGAUCAAAAAGUUGAAUCUACUCUACAGUCGUCAUCAAUGAACCUUCAUAUAUUCAGUGUUCUGUCCACAGUACACCAAAAUUCCAUUCCCCUCUUAAUAUUUAGACACAGGGUUAUGGACUGGGUAAUGGGUGGAGACAGAGGGGACCAACCUUCUUCCGCUGCAGCCGUAGUUGGAACACAGACCGCGUAAGUUCCGGCCGGUUGACAAACGGAUGCUGCACAACAGACACACACAAAAACAUAGAGGGUGGAGUGUUAGCACUGAUAGCAGUUUAAUCACUAAUGAAAAAAUUCAAGCUCAGGGUGAUCAAAACAUCAGUAGACAUUUUGACUGUGUCAAAAGAGUUCAGAAAUUUUGAAACAAAAUAAAGAAUCGUGAUUACUUACCA
rnacentral:lncRNA from 1 species